rnacentral:lncRNA from 1 species
UCGAAUCGACUCGCGUCCACCCCUAGUAGCAAUGAAAAUCAGGUUUCUAUGGAAAUCAAUAAAAUGGAGAUGACAAGAAUUAUUGUGCAGCAACCGUCAGCUUUGUCAAAUUAAGUUUUUAGUUUUUCCACCUAAAUUGUAGUAGCGUUUUAUUGGUCCGUGUUCUCGUUUGACGUUUCUAGAGAUCUUGCAAUGCCUGAAUCUCGUCCUUUUAUUGACCUAUAUGAGCUGGAGUAAAGAUGAGCUUGCAUAUUUGUUUACAGAGCUCUUUUUAAUGGCUGUGUAUUUAGGUUAAAAAUGAAACUGUUAUUUUUCCAGUAUUUCGAUUGGUGAUUGAUGAUGCAAUUCUGUUUUUGUGAAGGAGAUUUUGCGAAACAUAUAUAUUGUUACGUAUAGAAUUGGGGAAUGACUUAUGAUGAAUUGCUCAUGUAGUCCUAACUCCGACUUGAUACUUUCAGUCCUGGCUCCAA